CAUCUUCAUCGCCAUUACCAAUAUUCUAAUGGGGGUGAUGGGUUUGUAGAUACUUUCCUACUCAGGGCAGCAGCAUAAAAAAGAAGGAAUUGGUUUGUAGAUUAUAGAAUCAAUCUCUUCUUUUACAAUGGGGAUUUCUUCGGAUAACGUUCAUGGCCUUGUAUUGGCGUUAUCGUCGAGUGUUUUUAUUGGUUCCAGCU